UACAUGGGGUGCAAACGUUGCUCGGAAUUAUUGGGCGUAAAGCGCGCGUAGGCGGUUACUCAAGUCGGAUGUGAAAGCCCUCGGCUUAACUGAGGAAGUGCACCCGAAACUGAGUAGCUAGAGUACUAAAGAGGGUCGCGGAAUUCCCGGUGUAGAGGUGAAAUUCGUAGAUAUCGGGAGGAACACCGGUGGCGAAGGCGGCGACCUGGGGUAGAUACUGACGCUGAGGCGCGAAAGCGUGGGGAGCAAACAGG
rnacentral:rRNA from 1 species